GAUGAACGCUGGCGGCGUGCCUAAUACAUGCAAGUCGAGCGAACAGACGAGGAGCUUGCUCCUCUGACGUUAGCGGCGGACGGGUGAGUAACACGUGGAUAACCUACCUAUAAGACUGGUAUAACUUCGGGAAACCGGCGCUAAUACCGUAUAACAUGUUGAACCGCAGGGUGCAACAGUGAAAGACGGUGUUGCUGUCACUUAUCGAUGGAUCCGCGCCGCAUUAGCUAGUUGGUCAGGUAACGGCUUACCAAGGCAACGAUGCGUAGCCGACCUGAGAGAGUGAUAGGCCACCCGGGAACUGGGACACGGACCAGACUCCUACGGGAGGGAGCAGUAGCGAAUCUGCCGCAAUGGGCGAAAGCCUGGCGGAGCGGCGCCGCGUGAGUGAAGAAGGUCUUCGGAUCGUAAAGCUCUGCUAUUGGGGAAAAACAGAUGUGUAAGUAACUAUGCACGUCGUGACGGUACCUGGUCAGAAAGCACCGGCUAACUACGUG
rnacentral:rRNA from 1 species